rfam:Neotoma lepida isolate 417 scaffold_42340, whole genome shotgun sequence.
CGAAAGGAUUUUAUCAAAUCCAUUCUCACAUAAAUAAUGAAAAUA